rnacentral:rRNA from 8 species
AAAACUUUCAACAACGGAUCUCUUGGUUCUCGCAUCGAUGAAGAACGCAGCGAAAUGCGAUAAGUAAUAUGAAUUGCAGAUUUUCGUGAAUCAUCGAAUCUUUGAACGCACAUUGCGCCCUUUGGUAUUCCAAAGGGCAUGCCUGUUUGAGCGUCAUUUCUCUC